rnacentral:rRNA from 1 species
GACGAACGCUGGCGGCGUGCCUAAUACAUGCAAGUCGAGCGCAGGAAAUCAUCUGAACCCUUCGGGGGGACGUUGAUGGAAUGAGCGGCGGACGGGUGAGUAACACGUAAAGAACCUGCCCUCCGGUCUGGGAUAACCACGAGAAAUCGGGGCUAAUACCGGAUGGGUAAUCGGACCGCAUGGUCCGAGGAUGAAAGGCGCUUCGGCGUCGCCUGGGGAUGGCUUUGCGGUGCAUUAGCUAGUUGGUGGGGUAAUGGCCCAACAAGGCGACGAGGCAUAGCCGACCUGAGAGGGUGAUCGGCCACACUGGGACUGAGACACGGCCCAGACUCCUACGGGAGGCAGCAGUAGGGAAUCUUCCACAAUGGACGAAAGGCUGAUGGAGCAACGCCGCGUGAACGAUGAAGGCCUUCGGGUCGUAAAGUUCUGUUGUAAGGGAAGAACAAGUGCCGCAGGCAAUGGCGGCACCUUGACGGUACCUUGCGAGAAAGCCACGGCUAACUACGUGCCAGCAGCCGCAGUAACAC